GUCUAAUUGAGCUGACUAACACAAGUCGCCUACAGAUGGCAAAACUAAAAGAGCACCCUGUAACACACGUGUGCCCACUGGGGCUUCAGCUGUAAACAUUCACCCCUAGACACUGCUCUUGGGUUGGAGCCCCACAACCCAGCCGUCCGCAUGCUCCCCUAGAGGUUUGAGCAGUGGGGCACGGAAGAAGCGAGCCACUCCUCCUGUUGCACACCCUGCGGGUGGCGCAAGGGAACGUUUCCUGUUUCAUCAUCAGGGAUAUUGUAUCGGUGUCUUAAAUAACACUAGCAUUUUGACAUAUUUGGAGCUGCUACUGGGCCAGCUCUGUUUCCAGGCCUGCCUUUCAAUCUUUUCCUUGCUUCUGGCAUGAGUUACCAUCUCUUUUAAGAAAUUGGUUAUGCAUUUGAAAAUACACGUAGCUAUACAUACUUUAAACAUAUCAUUUAGCAAGGAUGCUCCUUAUCGGACCGUUGCUGGGAACAGAGAACACGACAGUUCCAGACUGUUUCCAAGAUUGGAUGAAGAGAUUCAAUUGACAAUGCUGUGAAGAGAGGGAUUUGGAGCUUGUUGGGGGAGGUAGUGUUGACUUCCUUGUGCAAUCUAGGAUUGAGUGGGGGAUGCAGUUGGAAGGCAAGAGAAGUAAGACUCCUCCAUCUUCCUGGUCCAGAGAAAUUAUGCUGGAUCCCCCUACCCUUAAUGAGAAAGGAGGUGUUUGUGUUUCCAGCAUCUAUGAGAUCUGAUUGCUAAUGUAGCUACCUUUAAAGAAUUCUGCUAUUUACAAUAAAAGUGAGAUCUCCCUCCUCCAUCCUGUGUUACACAGCCUGGGAUUGCACCGUUGUUCCUGGCACCUUUGCAUUGCAGGAGCCUGCCUUUGACUUUCUUUCCUCUCCACACAUCUUCUAUUCCUGCUGCUUCUCUUUUCAGAAAGUGCUGAGCUUCUAGGCUAGUGUCCCUCUCAACGGAUGAAUAUUCAGCAGAGAAUGGAGAGCUUUCAACCGUAAGAAUCAGGAUGUGGCUGUUUAUAAAGUUAUUGCAUUUUUUUGAAGAGUGGCUGCAAUUAGUUUUGGUGUUAGGCAGCAAAAACCCCAAAAUGUUCUUUCUGAUUUCAUGUUGCUUGCAUAAUACAGAUACCCAUUUACUGGAAGAAAUCUUCAUGGGUAAGUGUAUGAGUGUGUAUGCAUAAGUAUGUGUAUGUGUGUGUGUGACUCCACAUAUAUUCCUAGAGUGCCUUCUAUGUGCCAGGCAUGGUGUUAGUUGACAUAUGUAAUUGAGAGUAAAACAGUCAUGAUCUCUGCUCUUAACCAAUUUACAAUCUAGGAUAAAAUAGACCUUCCAUGUUCAAAUCCACAAUGACAUUAAUUGCAAUAUGAUCAUUGUUGUGCUUGAAUAAUAGCUAAGAAAAGCACAAAGAACUUACAAGGUGGCUUAACAGAAGAACAUCAUCUAGCUUAGAAGUCUGGAUAGCCCCUUUCUAAGAAAGCGGUACGAGUAAGGAUGAAUAGGAAUAGGCCAGAUAAAAUACGAAGCCAGGAGUUGGAGGUGGACACGGGGGAGGGAGGUGACAUUGUACUGAUGGAGAGAUGUGGAGAGCUGAGGAGGCUGAUGAAUGUAGAGAAAGUUGAAGUGUCACUGGAUUGCAGUUCUUGAUAGGUAGAAGUGUUGUAUGAGGGGACGAAAACAAGGCCAUUGGAAAGGGAAGUUGAAGAUGGUGGUGGUGGUGUUUGUGAAGGUAUUUAUAUUAUUGCAGAAUUAUCUGAAGUGCAGUUUCCAAUGUUAACCAAAUUCAUGGUGUGACUGUGGAAGUUGGUGCUUGAGGUGAAUGAUGACAACUAUCAGUGGGUAUCAGGGUAAGGAACUGCUGGGCAAGGUGUUGAUGGUGCAUCCAAGUGAUGUUAAAUCUGCUUAGCAUGAUGGUAGGGUUGGGUGAAAAGGAGACUAUGAGUUGAGUGCUAAAUUCUUUAAGGAGUGACCAAAUGAUUAAGUGAGGACUAGAGGGAGAAGAAGCUCUUAUUGUCAACUACUCAAAGGAGCAACUUACAAAAGAGAGUGCAGUCAUUCGUCUGCAAGUGGCAUUGGGUAGUCAGGAGGACGUUGCCUUGGUUCUGAUACUGAGAUAUUUGGAGUUUGAUGGAAAAUAUCUCCCAGCCCCUGCUUGAGAGGAGAAGCAGUAUCCUUAGGGGACAGUGGGUUUCAGUGAAGUCGAGAAACUGUGGUGUGUGUGUGUGUGUGUGUGUGUGUGUGUGUGAUAACUUUGAGAUAAUGAUGGGUUAGAAACAUGUAGAUUAAGGUAAGAAGAGAC
rnacentral:lncRNA from 10 species